GCAAACUUGGUCAUUUAGAGGAAGUAAAAGUCGUAACAAGGUUUCCGUAGGUGAACCUGCGGAAGGAUCAUUAACAAUAUAUAUAUAUGACAACACCCUGUUGAACCCAUGACAAGCAAGCUUGCAUGUGUGCAUAUAUAUGUGUGCAUAUGCACAUUUGCAUAUAUGCACAUGUGCAAGCAUUGUCCAACCAACACACCCUAUGAUGAUACUCGUAAAAUGCAUGAAACAUAUGUAUGAACGACUUUUAACAAUGGAUCUCUUGGCUCUUGCAUCGAUGAAGAACGCAGC
rnacentral:misc_RNA from 1 species